GGGCGAUUAGCUCAGUUGGCAGAGCAGCUGACUCUUAAUCAGCGGGUCGCAGGUUCGAAUCCUGUAUCGCCCA
rnacentral:tRNA from 1 species